GGAGGAGGCGGCGGUGGUGUUGGUGGCGGGUAUGGAAGUGUUCGUGGAAGAUAAACAUUAACAGCUUCAUCAUCAACCAAUAAAGAUUGUUUAAAAUUAUAUAUACUAGUUGUUUAUUGAACCUCAGUUACUGUACGAUGUUGUUUAUUGAACCUCAGUUACUGUACGAUGUUGUUUAUUGAACCUCAGUUACUGUACGAUGUUGUUUAUUGAACCUCAGUUACUGUACGAUGUUGUUUAUUGAACCUCAGUUACUGUACGAUGUUGUUUAUUGAACCUCAGUUACUGUACGAUGUUGUUUAUUGAACCUCAGUUACUG